UAAUAAUGGUGCACUGAUCCAUUCCAAUUUGAACAGGAGGGUUGAGGUUAAAGAUUUUAAAUUGUUAUAAAAGACAAUUAUACUUAACAUGCAGUUUUUACAAGCUCUUUUGAAUUCAUUCAUAUUGAAGGGCAUAUUAUAUGGGGUAAAGGUUCAGUAAAUAUACUCCAAAUAGAUACCUGCUCCACUCUGGUGCAUACCAUCUUUGCCUCAGUCUUUCAUCUAUGUCUUACUUCACAUGCCUUUCCAAAUAAGAUAGAACCUGGCAUUAUCCAGGUUGCCUACUUUAUUUUUAAUUUUCCAGAUAUAUAAUAACCUAUUUGUACAGCAAAACUGCAUUUGGGCAUUAAAAAAUAAACUUUAAGUAGCUAAGAAGUCCAUGCAAUGUUAAUUUCACCACACUUAGAAUCUUGUACACAUUAGAUAUUUGUGGAUUUCAUUUCCUAAAUUAUCAACAAAAUAAGUA
rnacentral:lncRNA from 1 species